rnacentral:tRNA from 1 species
GGGGGUUUAGCUCAGUUGGUAGAGCGCCUGCAUUGCAAGCAGGAUGUCAGCGGUUCGAGUCCGCUAAUCUCCA